rnacentral:rRNA from 1 species
GCAUAUCAAUAAGCGGAGGAAAAGAAACCAACAGGGAUUGCCUCAGUAACGGCGAGUGAAGCGGCAACAGCUCAAAUUUGAAAUCUGGCCUCUUUGGGGUCCGAGUUGUAAUUUGGAGAGGAUGUUUCGGGCACGGUCCGGGCUUAAAUUUCUUGGAACAGAAUGUCACAGAGGGUGAGAAUCCCGUCUGGAGUCCGCGACACGACCUAUGUGAAACUCCUUCGACGAGUCGAGUUGUUUGGGAAUGCAGCUCUAAAUGGGUGGUAAAUUUCAUCUAAAGCUAAAUAUUGGCCAGAGACCGAUAGCGCACAAGUAGAGUGAUCGAAAGAUGAAAAGCACUUUGAAAAGAGAGUUAAACAGUACGUGAAAUUGUUGAAAGGGAAGCGCAGGCAACCAGACUUGCGCGUCGGGGUUCCCCCUUGCUUCUGCCUGGGUUACUCCCCGGCGUUCAGGCCAACAUCGGUUUCGGGGGUUGGUUAAAGACCCUGGGAAUGUAUCUACCCUGCGGGGUAGACUUAUAGCCCAGGGUGUCAUGCGACCUCCCGGGACCGAGGAACGCGCUUCGGCUCGGAUGUUGGCGUAAUGGUUGUCUGCGGCCCGUCUUGAAACACGGACC